rnacentral:rRNA from 1 species
GACGAACGCUGGCGGCGUGCUUAACACAUGCAAGUCGAACGGUGAAGGGACCGGUUUUUGCUGGUGCUGGUUGAGGGGCGCACGGGUGUGUCACAUGGGAGUAACCUCCCCCCUUCUUCUGGAUAACCGCAUGAAAGGGUCUCUAAUACGAGAUAUUCUGCACCUGCUGCAUGGAGGGGGUGGGGAAGGUUUUGUUUCGGUGGGGGGUGGGCUCGCGGCCUAUCAGCUUGUUGGGGGGGUGAUGGCCUACCCAGGCGGUGAGGGGUAGCCGGGCUGAGGGGAUGGGCGACCACGGUGGGAAGGAGAGGCGGCGAAGACUACGACGGGCAGCAGCAGGGAGGAAUAGUGAACGAUGGGCGGAAGGCUGAUGCAGCGACGCGGCGGGAGGGAUGGAGGCCUGCGGGUUGUAAACUUCUUUCGGGAGAGAAGCAGGGCUGUCGCUUCUGUGGGUGGGUUGACGGUAGCUGGAGAAGAAGCGCCGGCUAACUACGUG